rnacentral:rRNA from 1 species
UUGCUUAAUGGGCGCAAGCCUGAAGCAGCAACGCCGCGUGUGCGAUGAAGGCCUUCGGGUUGUAAAGCACUUUUAGCUGGGAAGAGGAAGGACGGUACCAGCUGAAUAAGCCUCGGCUAACUACGUGCCAGCAGCCGCGGUAAAACGUAGGAGGCGAGCGUUAUCCGGAUUUACUGGGUGUAAAGCGCGUGCAGGCGGUUUGGUAAGUUGGGUGUGAAAGCUCCUGGCUCAACUGGGAGAGGUCGCUCAAGACUGCCAGACUUGAGAGUGGUGGGGGAAGGUGGAAUUCCGGGUGUAGUGGUGAAAUGCGUAGAUAUCCGGAGGAACACCAGUGGCGAAGGCGGCCUUCUGGGCCACAUCUGACGCUCAGACGCGAAAGCUAGGGUAGCAAACGGGAUUAGAGACCCCGGUAGUCCUAGCCGUAAACGAUGUGAACUUGGCGCUGGGGCGGUAAAACGGUUCAGUGCCGAAGCAAACGCGAUAAGUUCACCACCUGGGGACUACGGCCGCAAGGUUA